rnacentral:lncRNA from 1 species
GCCGGCAAAGUUUUCAUGGCACACGGUGGCUUGUUCCGGAGCUUGGAACCGGGGCCUUCUACGCGAUCUUUCUUGGUGAGAGCUGCUGCCAAGCUCAAGCUGGGUGAUCUGGAGGACCUUGCAAAGUCGAGAAGAGGCGUGCUGGAUCCGUCGGCCGUGGGAAACAACGUGAUACCGGGUGAUAUCUUGUGGUCCGAUCCAUCUCCAAACCCGGGGCUUGCGAGCAACGAAGGUCGAGGGAUCGGGCUUGUUUUUGGACCGGAUUGUACUCAGGAGUUUAUGGACAAGCACAAGCUAAAGGUAAGGUGGUGUUUUGUGUCGUUUGCUCACGAUCAUUGGCAUUGUUCGGCAGUGCAGCUUAUAGUGAGAUCUCACGAGGGGCCGGAUGCGAGACAGAAGCGUCCUGAGAUGGCAAGCAUGGACAAAGGCUACACGAUCGACCACGUUGUCAGGCUGGAAAGCUCAUCACUCUGUUCAGUGCUCCCGACUAUCCCCAGUUUCAGGUUGGCCUUCUUCAUUUCGUGUUUUCUUUCUUCGUAAAUGCAACGAAGUUUCGAUUGUCAACGAUGGCAGGCGACCGAAACUCGCUUUAACAACAAAGCAGCCUACAUUGUUUUGGAACCACCGGAUUUUUGCGAGCCCGACAUUUGUGUUUUUGAGGCGGUCUUCCCGCGGCCACAUGUAAGCAAUUUCGUUUUGAUACUUCCAUCCACCGCUUUGGUUGCUAUUCCGCAGGUUAUGCCGUAUUACGAUCAUGUUAAUGUUAUGGAUUCAGACGACGAGCUGGAUCUGCCAAAAGACGGAUAAAAAAAAACUAGAAAAAUGCCACGACUGCCACCUUUGAGGUCUUCGUGGGCGUUGGACUUUUAUGCUCGUAGGAGUCAAGAAAAUCAUUCGUGACAAUAUAUUUCCGAGCUAGAGCUGCAAGAGAGCUAGGAGAAAAUGGCGAGUGAUUUUGUUUUGGUUGUUGCGGCAGCACUAUCGAUCGCUGCUGUGCUAUGGAAGCUAUGGAAGAGUAGAAUUAAAUCGUCUCUUCUUCCCCCAGGUCCCAUUGGGCUUCCACUGAUCGGCCAUCUCCACUUGCUCUUUGCAAAUCCUCCACACACCGUGCUCCAGAGGCUGUCGGCUCGCCAUGGACCGAUCAUGUCACUGCGAUUCGGGCAUGUGCCAGUGGUUGUCGUCUCCAGCCCAGCAGCCGCCAAGGAGUUCCUCAAGACCCACGACGCCGCCUUUGCGUCUCGCCCGCCGAGCGCCGCCGGGAGGAUCAUCGUCCACUACAACGCCGACAUCGUUUUCGCCCCCUAUGGCGACUCGUGGAGGCACUUGCGCAAGAUCGCGACACUGGAACUCCUCACAGCUCGCCGGAUUGACAUGUUUCGGGGCGCGAGAAUGGAAGAAGUAAGAUCCAUGUGCCGAUCGCUACUAGUAGCGGACGAUCGCGAGACGGGGAUCGUGGAUGUUCGUGGGCGACUGACGGCGCUCACCUUCAAUCUCAUCACUUUUAUGCUCAUGGGCAAGUGCUACUUUGGCAAGGACACGGAGAACGAGGAGGGGGCAAAAAAGUUUUUGGAGGUAAUUGCAAGCAUAUUUGAGGUAUGUGGAGACUUUCCACUUGGGGAUUACUUCCCAUGGCUUCCCAAGUUCUUGGAUCCAACAGAACGUCGUAUGCAUUCCUUAGCUAAAUCCUUUCAUGAAUUCCUUAGUGAUAAUAUCACUGAACACGAGAACAAGAAAAACAACAGUGAAAAGAAUAACAUUGACAAAGAUUUCUUGGACAUCCUCCUCUCUCUGAGAGACAAUGGUAACGAGCAUCUACAAAACAAAAACAUCAUAAGUAUCAUGACGGUAAGAAAAAGAAUUCGAUCAAUCAGUCUCAUCACUUGAGAUCUUUUUCUUGGCAGAACUUGGUCACAGCUGGAACCGACACCUCAGCAGUGACACUCGAGUGGGCGAUGGCUGAGUCGAUCAAAAACCCCACCAUCGCUGCCAAAGCCCGAGAAGAAAUCGAGCUAGUUCUCGGUGAGAAGUGGAGGACGAAGAUGGUGGAAGAGCCUGAUCUUUCACAGCUAACUUAUCUCCAAGCCAUCGUCAAGGAGACACUCCGGCUGCAUCCUGCGGGACCGCUGCUGGUCCCCCACCAAUCCACCGAGGCGGUUAGCAAUGUAAUGGGGUACCAUGUACCGCGCGGCACGACGGUGCUCAUCAACGCCUACACCAUCGCCAGAGACUCUACCGCCUGGGGCGACGACGCGCUGCUCUUCCGGCCCGAGAGAUUCCUUGGCACGGAUCUGGACAUCCGGGGCAGGGACUUCGAGGCGGUGCCGUUUGGAUCGGGGCGGCGGCAAUGCCCGGGAAUGGCACUGGCGCUCACCACUGUCCAUCUCACGCUCGCCAACCUCCUCCAUGGAUUCGAGUGGAGAGAGCCCAGCGGUGAGAGCAUCGACACGAGCAAGGAGCAGUAUGGAUUGACGCUGCUCUUGGCAAAGAAGCUCCGACUAAUCGCCACCCCACGGCUAGAACAAGGUACCUUAAAGCUCCGAUCCAAAGAAAGCUUGGAAGAAUAGCUUCCUUGAUAAACCAUGAAUAAGAAAGAAACCACGAACUUUCAGCACUAUCUCUCCAAAUGAACACUGCUGGCCUCAUCAGGAGCCUCUUUGCGAAUGAGAUUUUUGCAUGGCAUGGACAUUUUUAUAACAAAUAUAAAGAUAAUUUGUAAGUAUUAAAUAUUCUGAAGAAAUUGUUGAAGACUUGGAAAAGAAUAGACUAAGAGUAGAUUGUUGGAUCUAAUUUGAUUUCCAAGUGUGAUUGAAGCUCUUGUUAAUGUUCAGCUUAUCAGCAGCUUGACAACAUCUACGUUAUUGCUUGCAACGUGCAUAGCUAGCAGGGGGUUGGCAAAAUCUGCAUCCUUGUUCUUCCUUGCAGCCCGCAUAGAUUGGAGCAAGGGAUUGGACAGGUUUCACUCCGAUGACAAGAAGUCCAAAAGCUUAUUUUCAUCUUCGCUUAGAAGCGUUGUGGUGCUCUCCAACAACAGCUUCCAGCAGUGUCCACAUUCCUGAGCUCCACCCUGUGAAGCAGUAACGCACAAGCCCCAAUAAAUUUGAUCCGUGCACCACAUUCUUGCACCAAGCUUCCCCCGACCAUAUGCUUGAGAAACAUCUCCAAGAAGCAGACAAGGCAGUCUAGCGGUACCUGGCCCCGUGCACACGCAUCGUGCAGCUCCUUGAAUAUGCUAUCAGCAUCACUAGCCAAUUCAAAGGCAAUGUUCUUGAAGCCCCGCAGCGAGACAGUCAUAAACCAGGUGCCAAACUCUAAAACUGAUCUCCACUUGCUCUCAGAUACCAAGUUUCUCCAAUGCUGGCACAUCCUCAUCUCUGCUUGUGUUGUGGCUUGCAACUGGCCGUAGUCUGAAAUGCUGGUGUAGAGAUAACUGAGCUUCUUUUUACAUUCAGGUGUGCAUUGCCAUGCCUCCAACGCCGUCGUAAACUCUAUCAUCUCAGCUUGGGGGAAGAAAGCCUUGGGAGGGCGUAGCUCUGGGAGAGGCUUCAAUUCCAUAUCUUGCCUGUUCAGCCGCCGCUCCAGCACGCUUCCCUUCUGCAAUCUAUUUCCUACCAACUUUCUAGGAUAUCCCCUCCCAAUACGCCAACACAUCCAGCGACUGUUGGAUUUGGAUGGAAUCCCCCUUGUUCUUCUUCAGUUCCUCCAAAGCUUUCUCGGCCAUCAUCAGAUCUGUGGAGCAUGUUCUAUUUUCAUAGCUUCGAUCGUUAAAAGGUACUUUGUUCCAAACAUUCGUUCCUCGUCGGGGAGGCCGGCCAGAUCAAAGAGAUGGAGCAAAUCAUGGAGCUGGCCGUGCAAAUCGCCCACCAGGACGAUGCUACUGGAGCUCGACCGUGGCGGCUCCAGGCGCAAGCAAUUGGGCUCCUUGUGCAUGAUCUUGGAAGCCCUGGCGAUGAGCGAAUCGGCGACCGCGACUGGCACUACCUGGCGCAGUGCUUGCGUCCUCAGCAUGGAGGCCGCCUCCGCCAGGGUCUCGCCCACGCCGAUUACCCAUUCUCGCGUCAAUCCUCCAUCCUCUGGCCAUUCCACUACCUUGCUCACCACCUCCUCCUCUGCCGCCAUCGCCACUCCUUGCGCCUGAUCCGAGCUGGAUUCCGGGACUGGCGCCUUUGUUGCCCCUCUUCUUCGACGGUGCUCAUCAACGCCUAUGCCAUCGCCAGAGACUCUUCCGCCUGGGGUGACGAUGCGCUGCUCUUCCGGCCCGAGAGAUUCCUUGGCACGGAUCUGGACAUCCGGGGCAGGGACUUCGAGGCAGUGCCGUUUGGAUCGGCGACAAUGCCCGGGAAUGGCACUGGCACUCACCACUGUCCAUCUCACGCUCGCCAACCUCCUCCAUGGAUUCGAGUGGAGAGAGCCCAGCGGUGAGAGUAUCGACACGAGCAACGAGCAAUAUGGAUUGACGUUGCUCAUGGCAAACAAGCUGCGAUUGAUCUCCACCCCUCGCCUUGUGUUUAACGGGGACUAUGUGGAUCGAGGAGUGUGGGGAUUCGAGACUUACUUUCUCCUCCUUGCUUGGAAGGUAUGAUCUCAGAAUCACGUUUUCUUUUUUACUUCUUUCUGGUGGUAGUGAAAGGUGCUACCUCACCGAGUUUUUCUUCUGCGAGGAAACCACGAGACAAAGUUCUGUACGAGCGUCUACGGCUUCGAGAAAGAGGUCUCCGUCAAGUUUGGGGAGCAUUCCAAGCAUUUCUACCGCAAGCUCUUGGGAUGUUUCGAGGGCCAUCCUCUGGCGGCGGUGAUAGCCGGCAAAGUUUUCAUGGCACACGGUGGCUUGUUCCGGAGCUUGGAACCGGGGCCUUCUACGCGAUCUUUCUUGGUGAGAGCUGCUGCUAAGCUCAAGCUGGGUGAUCUGGACGACCUUGCAAAGUCGAGAAGAGGCGUGCUGGAUCCGUCGGCCGUGGGAAACAACGUGAUACCGGGUGAUAUCUUGUGGUCCGAUCCAUCUCCAAACCCGGGGCUUGCGAGCAACGAAGGUCGAGG